UCCCUGGUGGCUCAGCAGUAAAGAAUCUGCCUGCAAUGCAGAAGAUGCAGGUUCGAUCCCUGGGUGGGGAA
rnacentral:tRNA from 1 species